rnacentral:ribozyme from 1 species
UUUUUUUUUUUUUUUUUUUUUUUUUUUUUUUUUCUUCCU